AACCCUACCUGUCUUCAUUUUUCCAUUCCUGAACCUUUCUUUAUCUUUUUUCCUUCUCUCUCAUUAAUCCUCGGGAUCUCAUACUCUCUCUUUUUUUAGUGCAAAAGACAAGGGAUAUGUGGUUCAGUUCAAAUCCCGAGGAUCACUAUUAAUUGCUCUUUUCAAUCACGUUCAUGUCUUGUCCCCUUGUCCGCUUCUGUUUCUGUUUCUUUGUCUUUGUCUUUUUCUGAGUUGAAGAACUCUUAUAAAGAUUGUUCUUGAGAGGAAUCUUUGAAAAUAUUCUUAUAUAAUAUCUUCCAUAAAUAGCUGCAGAAAGAAGUUGGUUCAUCACAUCAACAGAAAAGUUAUACUUGAAGAUCUAGUAGAAGUGAUCUUAUCUUCUAAGGAUCGAGAGCAAUAUAUCAAGGUU